rnacentral:rRNA from 1 species
UAAGGGAAAGCUGGCGGCGUGCUUAACACAUGCAAGUCGAACGGGUGAAGCAGAGCUUGCUCUGUGGAUCAGUGGCGAACGGGUGAGUAACACGUGAGCAACCUGCCCCGGACUCUGGGAUAAGCGCUGGAAACGGCGUCUAAUACCGGAUACGAGAUUCCACCGCAUGGUGAGUUUCUGGAAAGAUUUUUUGGUCUGGGAUGGGCUCACGGCCUAUCAGCUUGUUGGUGAGGUAAUGGCUCACCAAGGCGUCGACGGGUAGCCGGCCUGAGAGGGUGACCGGCCACACUGGGACUGAGACACGGCCCAGACUCCUACGGGAGGCAGCAGUGGGGAAUAUUGCACAAUGGGCGGAAGCCUGAUGCAGCAACGCCGCGUGAGGGAUGACGGCCUUCGGGUUGUAAACCUCUUUUAGCAGGGAAGAAGCGAAAGUGACGGUACCUGCAGAAAAAGCGCCGGCUAACUACGUGCCAGCAGCCGCGGUAAUACGUAGGGCGCAAGCGUUAUCCGGAAUUAUUGGGCGUAAAGAGCUCGUAGGCGGUUUGUCGCGUCUGCUGUGAAAUCCCGAGGCUCAACCUCGGGUCUGCAGUGGGUACGGGCAGACUAGAGUGCGGUAGGGGAGAUUGGAAUUCCUGGUGUAGCGGUGGAAUGCGCAGAUAUCAGGAGGAACACCGAUGGCGAAGGCAGAUCUCUGGGCCGUUACUGACGCUGAGGAGCGAAAGGGUGGGGAGCAAACAGGCUUAGAUACCCUGGUAGUCCACCCCGUAAACGUUGGGAACUAGUUGUGGGGUCCAUUCCACGGAUUCCGUGACGCAGCUAACGCAUUAAGUUCCCCGCCUGGGGAGUACGGCCGCAAGGCUAAAACUCAAAGGAAUUGACG